GGUCAUUGACGUGACGCCUAUAUUUUCUGUCCGACUACAUUUUCUCAGUUAAAAGAAAGGUUUAAAUACUCCAAGAAAUAUCAUAUAUAUGUACUACCUCUCCCAUAUAUGUACCCACUGUAAUUUUCCUGAAAAAUAUUAGUUAUUUGUAAUGUUUCUGUUAUUUAAGGUGUCAAAUAUCAUGUGGUGCGACCGUCCGGUCAUGACUGCCGAUGGAAAACUUCUUUGAAAUUACUCUAAAUCUAUUCAAAUUUAUUUUCUACCCUAUUUGGCAUGAUUUCCAAAGUGUUUUUUAGUACUGUACACAAUUGCAUAGCAUUUGUAUAAAUACUUCCAUCAUAGUAUACAAACAAACUUUUUCCGAUGAUGUCCAUUUGAUGAAAUAUCAUGUGGUGCGACCAUCAAGAAACUACCAAUUUGGGACUUUUAUGCUGAAAUCCAUUCAUAGACAGGAAGUUGCAUCAUACACCAUUUUGCCAAGGACCCAUGGAAGAAAGAACAGAUGCCACUUCCAAGCAAAAUAAAAACCGCUCGCCAUAGGCAGCGUGCUAAUUCUGACCCUGCAGCAAGAGCGAAGUACCUUGCUCGGAGAAGAUAAAGCUACCAGAGGAGAAAACAGCAGGGAAGAUUCAAUAUGCUAAGUCAAGUGAGCUGACAGAGAGAGAGAAAAAGAAACAGAGAGAAAAUGGAGAGCUUCCUCAAGUGCGUACAGGGAAAGGAAAAAUAUGGCAAAUGCUUUGCUAGAAAUUACGCCGCCAUCAAUGGAGAACAUUCCACAAGAUCUGGUUGAUGUGAUUGUAACCUAUGAUGAGCCUCCAUAUGUAGGCCAGGUCCUUGAAGUUGUGGAAGAGGAAGUCCAAGAUUGGGCAAAGUUCAAAAAGGUCUGGGAUUAAAGUAAUGCCUGCGACUUAAACCAAGUGCACCACAUUUACAGGUAAAGUUUAAUGAAAUGUUUGUUCACAGCUAUGUGUGUUGCACUUCAAUGUUUGUGAGUUUUUGUUUAUUAAAAAUGUAUAUAUAAUGUUUGUGUUCAUAAAAGUUCUAUCAAAUUUGAAUAAAAUCUGGUUUUAAUACAUUU